UAUGUUUCCUACUAUUCUUCUCUAAUUAUCAAUUGUUAUUUCUAAUCGCAAGCGUAGUAUCUAAUAGAACAAGUACUGUUUUGGAAUUUGGAUUCCCCCUACCUCACUGAAAAGGCACACAAAUACAUCAUGCACAUACAUUAAUCACAAUAAUCCGUCACCUGGUGGCCCAGAAGAAAACAUGUAUCUCAACCAUGUUUGGAAGGGCUUUCCUCUAUCUAUAGGUAGGGUUUCACCCACCGCUAAAUUUCAGUCAUACUAUUAUGACGUAUAUUAAACAUUUUAUUUUGAAAAAUUCUUUGAACUUUUUGUUUUAUUAUAUAGUUGUGUGGCUUGAUAUUUAGUUGUGUUGAUUUAUUUUGUAUAUUUGUUUACAUUUCACAUUUCUUACUAUGUCAAUUACAUUCUUACGAACUCUGUAACACUUCUCUAUAUCUUUUUAUCCAAUAUGUACUCUACUCUAUCAAUUUACCUCCUUUUCAUUUCCAAUAAAUUUUCCUCAUGAAUUCCAUUUUGUUAUGUUUAGUAAAUUGGAAUUUUAUAUUUAAAAUUUGUUAUUUGUUGUUUUGUUAUUUGAUUAUUUAAGUUAGUUUUGGAGAAGUGUCAUGUGAUAAUUUAGUUCCAUUAGGUUUAUUCCCAACAUCUCCUUUUAACCAAUUUAUCCUUAAACUCUUAGCUGUUCAUCAUUACCCCAAUUACUUGCAAAUAUUGUUUUUAAGUGAAUUUAAGUUUUAUUUAUUUUUAAUGUAGAUUUAUUUUCUUUGUUGUUUGAAUUUAUUUAUGAUUGUUUUGGAUAUUUUAUUCCCACUUCUCAAACCCAUUUACAACCCAACUAAAUUUUCUUCAUUGUUCCUCCUUUUUAUUUCUUUUAUUCUAUCUCAUUCUUACAAUCUAAAAUGUUUAUCCUCUCCCAUUUCUUGCAUUCUCAUCUUGAUCAACUUAAUAAUUAUUCCCAUGAGCCAUUUUAAUUUAAUUCAUAAUUUUAUUUUUAAAUUUAUUAAUUGAUGUUUUAAUUUGUUUAGUUUUUGAAUUUUAUUCAUUUGUUUACAUUAAAUCAUUUCCUAAUAAUUUAUUUUUCAUUUUCUUACAAAUCUUAUAUUAUUAGUUAAUUGUUCAUUCUGAACAAAUAAUUUCUAAUACAACCUGCAUACCAUUCUAACUCAUUCAAACUCAUCAUCAUCACUUUCACGAUUAAUCAAUACAAUACAUGCAUAAUUUCAUCAUGCAUCAAACACCAUGAAUAAAAUCCCUAUUUUACAAUUUUUUUAAUUUAACGAAAUUUGAUUAUUAAUUACCAUUUCUCAAUUUCUUAAAUUUAUUCAGUUUCCCUUAAACUUUUGAUUUUGAAUGCAUUUUGUUUUCAAAAACAUGCAAAUGGGGCUUCAGUUUAGUUACUAGAUAUACUUACCAUCCAAAGAUGAUUAUGCUUCGAACGUUCUUCCCCAAUGUCGUUAUGCAUACAUGAAACUAAGUACCGAUUAUAGAAAAAUUUCUAAUUUUAUUACCGAAAUGAAUCUACUUAACCCAAAUUUAAUCCUAAUUUAAUUAAGUGAAAUUGAGCAAUCUUAAUCUAACACUAAACGGUGUUAAAGUCUAAAAGGAUCAGGUUUUCGAAUUUACCUUGAAUCAGUUUGGGAUUCCUAAAUAAAACACAUCUCCGUUUGUCAUACGAAGUAGUUGGAUUAGAUCAAGGAACCUGCAGUAGAAAAUCAAAUCGGUUAGAGGCCGAUCAAUGCGGUCAAACUUAAAACAAAAAUAACGAAACUUAUCUUAGUAGUGGCAGAAGGAGGCGCGGGUUGCAGCCUCUAGGUUUCCUCCCACACUGUCGCACGCCAACCUGCAGCUAAGUCAUGCAUCCCAACGCGAUCAGCUACCUAGAUAUUACCAUACAGUUGCCACGCACACCAGAUCCUACAAAGUUUACAGAUCUGGAUUCUUAUUGUUGGGGCACAACCGUCUGCGUUUGUGAGAAUAGUCACCCAAACACGCUGGCACAGCCGCUCUUGCGUAUGCGGGCUCCCAUGUUCACAUUCACAUUUCUCCUCUCUUUCUCUACCUUGCAACCUCAGUUGCUCAUGAAUAUCUCUUUCCCCCUUCCCACUCGCGGGCAAUAGCCACUUUGCGAGCUCCAACUCAUCUUCCCUCUUUUUUCCUUCUCCCUCGACUUUCUUCUCCUCUCUCUUUCCUUUCUUUCCUUCCCCGUUCAUGAUUGCCCAUCGCAAGCUCCUCCCUCUUCUCUCCUCUCUUGAACCCCUUCAUCUUCUUUUUUCCUUCUUUUUUUGUUUUUCUUUUUUUAAUAAAAUUGCCAGUGCCGAUCCCUUUUUCUCCUCCCUCUGGCUUGUAGUGGCAGCUGCAAGCUGUUCACUCUAGGUGGAGAUCACGGCUGCGUAAUCUCCCUUCCUUCUCACUUGUCGGCCAUUUUGGCCUAAGUGAGAGGAAACCAUGUGAGGGGUUUUCCUUAAAUAAGUCAGUUUUCAGCCAUCAGAUCUCCUUUCAUGAAAUCUGGGUCGUUAGUUUCGCAGGGGGGCAAAACCGUCCAUUCACGAUCGAGAUGCGAUCUCAGCCGUUGAACCAAAAUCUCUUAUAUCAUGGUCGUACGAUCUAGGGCUUAAUUAAUGGUCUUUUGGUCAUUUUAUACCCUUUGAAAGCUCGAUCCUUUAAUAAGAUCUAUGCAUGAUUUUAGUCUUUCGUUUGAAUUUCAAACAAGAUACAAUAUAGGUUGUUCGAUCGGAUUGAGUGGGAAGUAUUUUUGGUCAUUAGAUCAUGAUCCAUGCGAGAGUUCAUUCUAGUCGUCUAAUCGCAACGAACACAGACCGUUAGAUCUCAUGCGUAGAUGGCUUCCUAACCGUUGGAUUGGCUAGGGCGAGAACACCCACAAGAUCACAAUCCUGGCAUGAGGAAUCCCUGACCGCACGAUCUGCAUCCGCAACAUGCAAACCACUCUAUCAUAUCGCCGUGUAGAUGUCACGCAUGCGUAUGCACACUUGCGUAUUCGCCACACAGCGUGUGGCCAUUGGCCCCAUGGCCACGUCACACACUAACAUGGCUGGAUUUUCAAUAAUUGCAGUAAGUUCCUGAUUUUGAAUUUUUGUUUCAUUUGGGUCCUUGGGCCCUAUUUUGGUGCCCAAAAAGCCCCCAAUUUUUUUAUUUUCCGCGUUUAAGUCCCUAACUUCCUAUUUAAUUUAAUUUUGGGUUUAAAACUAUUUUUAAAUUGUUUUAGUUAUUUAUUUUACAAUACUUAAUUUAAUUAAUUUCCUGUUUCCUUAAAAAUUAAUUUCUAAAUUUCUUAAUUUUCUAAAUAAAUUUAUUUUAUUAAUUUAUGAAAUAUUUUCUAAUUUCCUAAGUACUUAGUUGUAUUAAUUUACAAACCUUAAUAUUACCUAAUUCAUUUCACUAAUUUACAAUUCUUAAUAUUUUUAAUUUUCUUUUUAAUUUAUUUCAAAUUUUAGUUUUCUUUUAUAAAAUUCAGAGUCUUGUUGUGUGGGAUGUUAUAAUUAGACUAUCUUCCACAAGUUAGUUCAACAUUAUGAUCUAUAAUAAUCAUACCUAUGAUAUUUAUAGCAUUCAAUUUUAGAUUUGUCUACCAACUUAGGUUUUGAAUAAGCUAAAUGGUUGUUUUCAUUAUCUCUUCAUCUUCCUCGGGUAUGAGAAUAUUAAUUAUCUUUACCUUUCUGUGCCACAUUUGUUGAUUUUGUCAUUUUUCUUUCUCGACUAUAUCUUUUUAAUGGUGUAGAUUGAUUAUCAUAUAAGACUCGUAGAGUCUACUCAUCUUUGUUUGUUGCUUCAUUUUUUGUUCGUGAAUUACUAAAUAACCC
rnacentral:lncRNA from 1 species